rnacentral:ncRNA from 1 species
GUCUUAGUUAGCUUAAUGCUAUACUAGGGCUACAUGCUCAUUGAUAGUGCUUUAAACUAAGCCAUAAAAUUCAACCACAACAUUUAGUAAGUUUAAACUGAAAAGUGAAGUGAUGGUGAUUUACUUUCAAUUAAUGAGCUACAUAAC